CAUCAUUCUUCUGAGUUGUUAUAUCAAUAACCAGAUCAUUCUCUGCCUUUUUCUUCCUAUCCUCUGAAGCUAUGUAUGUUUUACUGGUCGUUGUUCAUGGAGCAUCCAAACCCUUCAUCUCCCUUUUUCUUCCUAUCCUCUACCUAUGCUACACUCUUGAGUCCCGUGAGCAUCCCUGCACAAUUCAAUCCCCCAUCGUUCGUCUAUCUCUAUGACCUACGCCCUAUUUCAAAAUCCAGUUGUGGAUUCUGCUUUCCAGGAUAUGUGCCUAAACUCUAGAUCAGAAAGCCAGCUCUCCAUACUUCUUUACUGGUAGGAUUGUUCUGGCUUUGGGGGUUUUGAUUUUUUUCCAGCACUGUCACUUUCGCUUAUUCUGAUGAUGGAAUGUUGGUACCAGUCUGUUGAGAAGAGAAAAUCAGCUUCAACAGUAUGUCCUCCCUCUCCUCCUCCGCCAAAGGUAGUAAAAGUUGAAUCACUCACUACCGCUGAAGGUGGCGCUGCUUCAUCAGGGUUGCAUUGAGAGGAUUCAGAAGUAUUCUGGUACAUCCUCUUUCAACCAGCAAUGUUUUCUGCUCUGAAUGGACAACAAUUUGGAUCAAAAGCUUAUGGGAGAAACUUGCCUCCAAACAGGCUGCAAUUUCAUUUUAUUUCUGUUUGAUUAAAUUGAUUUGCAUAAAACUGGAGUGGAAUUUAUAAGUGUUAUGAAUUUGCACUUAUUUUGUGGUUUAGGGAGAAAAAUUGUUGAAGUUGUAAUAAAUGUGAUGACUUUUCAGUAUGCCUAGGCUAACAUAACUAACUAUAAUUCUUUG